rnacentral:sRNA from 1 species
UGAUGCCAGGGUCAAAAGGUCUAAAUCCACAUGAGCUUGCUCAUCGGUGGAUUUAGACCUAAGGACCCGCCCCGAUAUGGAGCAGAACAUCCAGUGGAUGUUCGUUUUGCUCCGACCGAAGCGGAGCGUAGACAUAAAAGUGGGAUGAUAAUCCCACGAUAUGCGAAUACCGGAGAGGAUUGUGGGAGUGCGAUGCACGGAACAAUCCGUAGGCAUCA